rnacentral:tRNA from 1 species
GCAAUUAGCUCAGUUUGGUUAGAGCGUCUGGUUUACACCCAGGAGGUCGCUGGUUCGAGUCCAACAUUGCC